rnacentral:tRNA from 1 species
GGGUCAGUAGAUUAAAGGCAAAUCCCCGGACUCCAAAUCCGGAUAAUGGGGGUUCAAAUCCCUCCUGGCCUGCCA